CAGCGCAGUCUUCGCGGCCCAGACGAGCUUUCCGGGCCCCAGGCUAGGAAGGCCGAGUUUCUGGAACCAUAGAAGGGGAUUCUCCAAGAUAAUGAGGACAGUGGAAUUUUCUUCUUUCUUAGCUGGGAAGGACAUCUGGAAACAACAAAGAGUCACGUCGCCUUCAGUGGAUCCACUUUCCCACCUUUGAUAAUACUUUAGAGCCUCCAGUUAAAGUGCAAACUUCCCAGCUAAGUGAAGAUGAAGACCUUGUCAUUUCUAUCAUUUGUGUAAAAAGAGAGGUUAUUCAAACCCAACAAUGGAAACUUUAACAGAAGGCAGAAGUUGGUACCAGGAGUGGUUCUGGAGAAACAGAAGUGAAAGGAUGAAUCUUUUACAUAUCUGGAAUGGGCUUCAUAAUUUGUCAUCACCUUCCAAUUCACCAGUACCUUCAACUACUGAAACACACUAUCCAGACACACUCUCCUGGGAGCUCGGAGAAUAUUGAAGGCCCAUGGUGGAAACUAUAUUCCAAACUCGAAGAAGUCAAUGCCUUUGGUUAUCUUGACCCAUCAAUUGUGACUGGCAAUGGAUUAGGUGACCUGGUAUAUGAAACUUUCUACAGUUGGGUGGGAAAUAAGGAAAAUAAUUUUGCUGUCUUAUUGCUCUUUAGCAUCUCUGGGCAAAUUGAUAAAGGAAAGGAAUGAGCUUCAUGACAAAAUUGAAAGGCUCCAGAUGCAAAUAAACAAUCUAAAGGUUUCUAAGUAAGUGUACCCUUGAAGAGAAUCUUCUCUCCAGCAGCCAUAGAGCUCAAGUUACAGGAAAACAAACCAAAGCCCCCAUUAUUAGGUUGGCUGAGUUACAGCAAACACUCAAGUCUCAGCC